UGGGGAAUCUUGGACAAUGGGCGCAAGCCUGAUCCAGCCAUGCCGCGUGUGUGAAGAAGGUCUUCGGAUUGUAAAGCACUUUAAGUUGGGAGGAAGGGUUGUAGAUUAAUACUCUGCAAUUUUGACGUUACCGACAGAAUAAGCACCGGCUAACUCUGUGCCAGCAGCCGCGGUAAUACAGAGGGUGCAAGCGUUAAUCGGAAUUACUGGGCGUAAAGCGCGCGUAGGUGGUUUGUUAAGUUGGAUGUGAAAUCCCCGGGCUCAACCUGGGAACUGCAUCCAAAACUGGCAAGCUAGAGUAUGGUAGAGGGUGGUGGAAUUUCCUGUGUAGCGGUGAAAUGCGUAGAUAUAGGAAGGAACACCAGUGGCGAAGGCGACCACCUGGACUGAUACUGACGCUGAGGCGCGAAAGCGUGGGGAGCAAACAGGAUUAGAUACCCCCGUAGUCCCUGAGCGGGCUGGCAAGGCGCAU
rnacentral:rRNA from 1 species